rnacentral:rRNA from 1 species
AGCAAACAGGAUUAGAUACCCUGGUAGUCCACGCCGUAAACGAUGUCGACUUGGAGGUUGUUCCCUUGAGGAGUGGCUUCCGGAGCUAACGCGUUAAGUCGACCGCCUGGGGAGUACGGCCGCAAGGUUAAAACUCAAAUGAAUUGACGGGGGCCCGCACAAGCGGUGGAGCAUGUGGUUUAAUUCGAUGCAACGCGAAGAACCUUACCUACUCUUGACAUCCAGAGAACUUAGCAGAGAUGCUUUGGUGCCUUCGGGAACUCUGAGACAGGUGCUGCAUGGCUGUCGUCAGCUCGUGUUGUGAAAUGUUGGGUUAAGUCCCGCAACGAGCGCAACCCUUAUCCUUUGUUGCCAGCGAUUCGGUCGGGAACUCAAAGGAGACUGCCGGUGAUAAACCGGAGGAAGGUGGGGAUGACGUCAAGUCAUCAUGGCCCUUACGAGUAGGGCUACACACGUGCUACAAUGGCGCAUACAAAGAGAAGCGACCUCGCGAGAGCAAGCGGACCUCAUAAAGUGCGUCGUAGUCCGGAUCGGAGUCUGCAACUCGACUCCGUGAAGUCGGAAUCGCUAGUAAUCGUGGAUCAGAAUGCCACGGUGAAUACGUUCCCGGGCCUUGUACACACCGCCCGUCACACCAUGGGAGUGGGUUGCAAAAGAAGUAGGUAGCUUAACCUUCGGGA